rnacentral:lncRNA from 1 species
GCCAAACAACUCGAAAAGUUGGUUUUCUAGUUCUGCGAACUCAAUAUGACUCAAGAGAUAGGCAGGUUUCGGGAUUUGUUGGGUUUUGGGUAGCAGUUCGAUUAAAAAUUCUACCUCUCAUAGGGGAGUAAACCGAGUAGUUCGACGAAAAAAACUUCUAAAAAGUUACAAAUAACGGUAUAGAAUACACAACAGGAUCAACAUCCAUAUUACUAUUUAUUCAAUAGUUAAGAAAGAUAAAAAAU